rnacentral:misc_RNA from 1 species
CAACCCUCAAGCCUGGCUUGGUGAUGGGGCACUGCCUUGUGUAAAAACGAGGCAGGCCCUGAAAUUCAGUGGCGAGCUCGCCAGGACUCCGAGCGCAGUAGUUAAACCCUCGCUUUGGAAGGACUGGCGGUGCCCUGCCGUUAAACCCCCAACUCUUGAAA